GCUCCUGCUCCAGCGGCACAAUGUGAUCCACCAGCUAGGAGGGACGCCAAUAAGGCGUCCGAUAAGAUAAGUCUUAUAAAAUAUAUAGAUGUAUGAUAAUUGAGACUGAGCUAACAGAUGAGAAUCCUAGUCAUUGGCCAAGCAGCAAUGUAACUAAUACAAGUCUGUGUAUUCAUUUGGGCCUAACUCAGGCGGGCGGCUGGCAUAAAGCUCACACGUGGCAGUGGGGCUCAGGCGGCAUUUGGCGGAAAGAUUUAUCAUAACAUCUAUGUACCUACUUAUCUAUCAUCGCUAUAUAUAUAUAUCAUCUAUAUCAUCUAUCUAUCUACCUAUCUAUGUCUAUCUAUCUAUCCAUGUCUAUCUAUCUAUCUAUCUAUCUAUCUAUCUAUCUAUCUAUCUGCUUUUGAGAUGUAGAAGAGAGGGGAGAAGAGAAAAGCACAAGAGAGCUGCUUGGGGACCAAACCAGGAGAUGGCCACCAUUGUGUCAUCUGCAAGCGUGGGGCAUCGUGUGAUCUCCUCUACAGUGCAUUGCAAACCCUUUAGGGGCUACCCUUUGUCUGCUCCCUGUGAAACACCCCCGCCCCAGCCUGCUGUCUAUCAGAUGACAAGGCUGCAUCGAGUCUCAUCUGACAAGCUAUUGUCAGGCAGAUGUCUUCAUUAAGUCUGUGUAGGAAGACGAGCACAUCAAAGGGAAGAAGCCAGCAUUUUCCUUCUGGAACUCUGCAUAGGAAUCAUAUAUUUUGGAAGAUGAUCUGUGAGUAAGAGUAGCUUGUUCUGUUUUGUGUGUGGUGGUAAUUGUGUGGGGAUUAGAAACACCUGUACCAAACAUCUGCUGGGUCCUGGCUCCCUCCUUUUGUCAUCUUGGAAUACGUGUAACGUUAUUCCCUACUUCAGAAAGCAAUAACGAUUGAGGCAUUUAGGUCGUAAUGCCUGGCAGAGGGAGUUUGGGAAUUAGGUGAGAUAAUCAAAAAUGGCGGGAACUUGGGGGGGGGGCAAGCAAGAGUAACAGCCUCUGCUGCAUGUUUCCUGGGGAAGUCUUUCUCUUUGGCAGCAGCCAUUUAAUGUCAAUCUUGUCUGUUUUAGGUGUCUAAGAUGAACUAAAAGUGAGUCCUUUGGACAUUUAAUAUUCCUCUUCCCAGCUGGAGGAUUGAAAUAGCCUCCCCUCUCUCGUGUCUAAGUUGGCUACUUUCAUGUUUCUAAAAGCUUGUCAAGUGCCUCUUCUCGGGAUUUAUUCCCGGUUUUGAUUCUUUGGUGCUUUUCAAGUUACCUCAUAUCCUUGCACGGGUCGCAUUCUAAUUUCUCUUUAAGUAGCAAAGCACUUCAGCAGUCCCUGAGGCAGAGACUCUUACCUCAGCAGGCCAGAGAAAGUAGAGCCCAGGAUCGACCAACAGAGCAGACCCUGGAGACCAAACCAGAGACGCAGCGGUCUGUCAAAUUCUUGGUCUGUUAAUUGACUUCAAUAUUCUGAUAACUAGGUUUGCUUGCUAUCUUGAUUAUUUAUUUAUUUUACUUUCUCCUUCCAACUUUCUGUGUAGAUAAGGGUGACCUUGAACUCCUGCCUCCCCUGUACCUCUCAAGGUUUUCAUCACCUUGUGUGACAAGACCCAGAGUUUAGUUUUUGGUCCUGGGGAUCAAACCCAGGGCCUCACAGAUGCUGGAAAAAAAUAUGUCACAGCCUUCCCUUUUAAAAAUAAAAUUCAGUUUAUCUUUAUUACGUAUAUGUAUGUGGGUCUCUGUGUGGGUGUUUGAAUGGCAGUGCAGGGGGUGGGGAGGCAUCACAUCCCUUGGAACUGGAGUUACAGGUGGUUAUGAGCUGCCCCAUGUGGAUGCCAGGACUUGAACUCAGGUCCUCCAAAGAGCAGUAUGUGUUUCUAACCUGUGAGCCAUCUUCUCUCCAGCCUCAGCCCUCACAUGGUUGACAACAAACGUCACAGGAUGGAAUGAUGCCAUAAUAAUUAUAACGCAUAUGGCCAGCGUAACAGCAACAACUACAAAAUGUAUCACGUGACCAGAGUUAGGAAAGUAGAGCUUGCUCUUGCCAUCUCACCUGGUACUUCUCCCUCACCCAUCUAGUGCCCUUUCCCUCUCUUGUGCUAGAGACAGAACCGGGAACUUACACAAGCCGGCAAAUGCUCUCAGACACACAAACAAAACAAAAUAAAGGAGCCAGCGAGAGGAGGCCCAGCAUUUUAGUCUCCCUGACCCCUGAUUGUGGAUACAAAGUGACUAGCAGUCUUCCUCUUGUGAAAAGUGGGGCUGUGCCUCACCCUCCAAAUCCCCAACUCACCCAAGGUCCCUGUGAUGACUGUCAUUGGUCUUAAACCCUGAGCCAAAGUAAACCUCUCCAUCUCUGGUUGAUGUUGUCUCUUAUUUUGUCAGAGCUACAAGAGGAAGUACCUAAUUGCAAAAUUUGCUACAUUUUAUUCUUUUGAUUGGCAACCGUUUUUCUGGGAAGGUUCUCUAUUAUACGGAGAACUACAUAGACUUUCAAUUAAUUACCAUGCUUCACUCAGAAAUCUAGAAUCUAUUGGUGGUGACGGCUGUCCCAGUUAUGAUUCCUACCGUAUGGAAGCUUUCCUCCCCCCUGCCUUCUCCCCUCUCUUCCUUUCUCCCCUUCUCUCUUCCUCAUACGCUUUCUAUCUUAAUAUGAAGUCAUGUGUUAUUUCUUUCAGUGUGUUUGCAGUUAAUACUUUUUUUCUUCUGAGCAUAUUCCCACAUUUGGCCACAUAAUACCUUCUCAAGCUGGCUUCUGUGUUCCUUUGAUCACCAUGUUGUUUUGAACCACUUUCUGACUCUCUGCAUCAGUAAGAUAUUCCAGGUUCUACCCUUUCUAACUUCUGGUUGGAGUGGGCCAUUGCCCAAGAGCGUGGGAUACUACGUUCAGAGGCUUAAACUUUGAUGGGUUCUCAUUGCUACUGGGUGGAUUACGUCUAGUAGUUCCCAGGGUGUGCACACACAUUCAUCCCUUCCUUGUUUCUUCAUCUCUCUUGCUCAUUCACAAUAAAUACCAAAAACCUCAUAGUCAAUAUUUAACCACCGUCCAUUGUCUUCAGAAUGAAGGCAUGGUGACAAAAAUAUCUUGUUCAUAAAUUACUUGGGUCACCUCUUUCCUCCUUUACACCCUCUGGUGUGCUUAUAUUAUCCUUUUGAAAUGGAGUAAGGUUCAUUUGUUUUAGUUUGAGUUCCCUUUACGGGAUAAAAUAUAUUCAUUGUUAUUUUAUGACUGUUAAAACACUGCUGCGGUUCAGAAGUCAAAGUGAUAAAAGUGACAGAAAAUAACACUGCUCCCAACUUCUUCAUCUCAUUUCUACCUCAAAAGGAUUUUUCAAAAGUUUAAAGUGAGCAGGCUCCCUUUUGUUUCAAACUCUGUAAUUACUUCCUUCCCCGAUCCUGGCGUGAUCUGACCUGCCUAAUUUCUAGUUUCCUCCUGUGCAGGGCCCCUCCUGCUCCCUCUUCCAACCAGAUGCAUUUCCUUAGUGCUUUGAAGAGCUGUGCUUCUUGCUUUCUAAGACAACCUCACACACUCUACCCCAAUCUGAGUUCAUUUUCUUUGGCUGUAACAAAACCCUUGAGACUGGAUACUGUGUAACAAAUGGAGCUGUUGCUGUGUGUGUGUGUGUGUGUGUGUGUGUGUGUGUGUGACAGAGUGAGGUUUUCAUCCCACAGUGGAGACAGAGUCUACAUAGUGUGGUCAUUUCAUGAACAAAAUAACAAGAAAAAGCUGGAAAAAGGGCUUAGUGGUUGAGAGCACUUAGCGCUCUAACAGAGGACCAAUGAUGGGGUGUCAGUACAAACAUCAGGAGGCUCAGAGCCACCCCUAUAUCCAGCUAGCUCCGAGGAAUCUGAUGCCUUCUUCUGGCCUCUGAUAACACUGCACAUACAUGCACAUUCACUCACGCAGACACACAUACACAGCAUUAUUAAAAAUAAUAAACACAAAUAAAUAAGCCCAGAGCUGGGCAUGGUGGUUUCCUCAUCGCUGUAACUAUUUCGGAGUCUGAUGUGGAAUUCCUUUACACUGCGUGGAUAUGCGUUGCUGUGAUUGGUUUAAUGACGAAGCUGACUGGCUGACAGCGGGAACGGAGAAAGCGAGGCGGGAAGAAGCAGGGCAGAGUCUGGAGUCCUGAGAGAUGCAGAGAGGAGCAGGAUGGGCAUGCCAUAUUGACAAAAGGUAACAAGCCAUGUGGCAAAGCAUAGAUAGAUAAGAAGUAUGAGUUAGUUUAAAUGUAACAGUCAGCUAGUAACAAGCCCGAGUUAUUGGCCAAGCAUUUAUAAUUCAUAUUAAGCCCCUGUGUGGUUAUUUGGGAACUGGAAGGCGGGAAAGCCAAGUCUGCCUUCAGUCUGAGGCAGAAGGAUGUCUCGGGAGUCUGAGAAUAGCUUGAGCAACACACUGAGACGCCCCCCCCCCAUAAUCAUCAGUUAAUUAUUCUUUAAAGAUAGAAACCUAGUUAGCUGAUGGUUUUAGAGGCUGGGAAGUUCAAUAUCGUGGUGCUAGUAAUUUCUGAAUAUCUUCAUGCUGAAUUAUAGCAUGGCGUUCUAAUAUGUAUCACAUGUAAUACAUGUUGGCAUAGUACAUACAUCACAUACUUGAGUAGGUGACCAACUAGAGAGAACUUGCUUUUAUGAUAAAGUAACUCCUGGGUAACCCAGUAAUCCAUCCAUGAGGACUGCUGCUUUGACCCAAUCACUUGACAAUAGUUCCAUCUCCAAAUACCACUCGCAUACUAAUUGACCUUAAGUUCUCAGCCCUUGAAAUCUGGGAGGACACACUGAAGCCAUAUCAAUCACCAGUCUGUAAUAGUUGUCUCUCUCUCUCUCUCUCUCUCUCUCUCUCUCUCUCUCUCUCUCUCUCUCUCUCUCAUAUUAACUCUCUCAUAAUAACUCAUAUUCCAGACUGCCAAACAGGUACCAUUUUGUCAGGGAAUCCUUUCCGUCUCCUUCUUCCCACCCUUGUAGAUACACGCUGUAUCAGGUCUCUCACUAUUUGGUCCUCAUAUUUCAUCCAGUGCUCCCAUCACAGCUUCCCACUGUAAUGAGUGUUGGUUUCGUUAUGAAAAUCAUUGCUAUCUGGCCCAUCAAGGUACAGAUUCUAUGAGUAGAAAAUAUUUGUCCAAUUAGUGAAUGAAGAAUUGGAACAAUGGUGAUGCUUAUAGUUUUGGGAAAUAGAUGACUUCUUUUGACAACUUUUAAGACUGUGUGUAUGUGUGUGUCUGUAUGCGUGUGCACAUGUGUAUGUAUGGAUGGAUGUGUGUUUGUGUACUUGUGCACAUGUGUGUGUGUAUGUAUGCAUGUGAACCUUUGUGUGGGUGUGUGGGUGUAUGCAGGUGCACGUGUGGUUGUCAGAGGAUAACUUACAAUAGUUGCUUCUCUUCUUCCACCGUGUGGGUCCUGGGGCUCAAACUCAGGUCCUUGAAGUUGGCAGUCCACACUUUUACACACUGAGCUGUCUUCCCCACCCUAGAUGAGUCUUUAGUCUUUUUAAUCUAUAAAUGUUUUAGCAAAUUUAUAGUUUUUGUGGCAAAUCAUAUUCAUUUUAUUUCUCUAGCUCAGUGGGAAAUGUGGCCUUAGACAAUUAAUGAUGAAAGCUGAUGUUUUAUUAGCAAAUUCUAGGGCAUAUCUUUUAAACAGUAAACAUCUAAAAAAACAAAAACAAAAAAAGAGAGAGAGAUUUGUUGUUUGUUUGUUCAUGACAGGGUUUCUCUGUGGCUUUGGAGGCUGUCCUGGAACUAGCUCUUGUAGACCAGGCUGGUCUCGAACUCACAGAGAUCUGCCUGCCUCUGCCUCCCAAGUGCUGGGAUUAAAGGUGUGUGCCACCGCUGCCCAGCUAUAUUAAUUUAUAAUCUUUAAGGUGAUGACUUUUUAGCUGGCAGAGGCCUAGGGUGGUACAGGACAUCCUGUGGACAGAGAUGAACUAUGUAUGCUCUGCAAGUCUUCCGGCCUUUAUUUUUAUACAGCUAACAGGAGGGUAAAUCCUGAUAUCCUGGGAUUAUCAAAUCCCAGUCAUCUGAAGCUUUAUCUCAGCGCCUCCAGAGUUGGAUCAAAUUUGCACAAAUGGGGAUUCAAUUUCAAUACAUGGGACCCCAGAGGAAAAUCAAACCAAGUAUGAUCAUAAAGAAUAUAUGGCUGUAAUUUCUAUGCUUUACAUACAAGCAUGGUCUACAUACAAUAUAUUAAAUAUGAAUACACAGAUUCACAAGGCAACCAUUCCAUUUUAUUUAUAAAGACAUAUCUGUUUAUUUUUUAUAUGUGCAUUAAUGUGUGUUAUGUGGGUGCUGGGUCUGAACUUUGACCUUCCUGAUUAUACAGCAAGGGCUCUUAACCAGUGAGCGGUCUUUCCAUCCAUCAUCUUCCAUUUUAAAAGAUCAAGCUGAGGACUUGGGAUGUAGCUCUACACCCUGAGUUCAAUCCGUGACCACACACACACACACCACACACACACACACACACACAGAGUUAAGUUAAAUACAAAACUUGAUUGCUAGGCUAAUGAUGUGUCAAGGACAUUUCCCAGCAUGGUUUAUUCCAAAUCCCUGGGAAGGGCCCCAGCAAAGCCUUUCCAGGGCCAUAUAUUUGUAAAAUUUGCAAGCCUGGGAUGGUGAUUCAUCCUUUUUCUAGGAUUUUACUAUCUGAGAGCUAUACACUGGAAUUUGCUUAUAAAACUAUCUGAGGCCAUGUCGGUUUUGGAUGUUCACAGGGGUGGGGAAAUAAACAAAUGAAUAUGACUUGUAAAAAAUGUUAACAAUGAAUCUGCUAAGUUGGUUAUAGAUAGCAAAUCAUUUAGGGCUAUGUGUUUAUAAAACUUGCAAACCUGGUGUGGUGGCUCAUGUUCAAAGUUCGAGGCCAACCUGGUCCACAUAGUGAGAUCAUCUCAAAGUAAACGGAUGAGCAAUAGAAUUUGCAAACAUUUCCUUGUGUUUGAUUAAGACCACUGUGGGUCAGACUCUGCUCUCUUACACUUCUGGUGCGCGAUUUGGUAACUGGCUGUGUGCUUAUGGGAUAUGGCAGUUCACAGCUACUUCUGGGUGUGACUGGGCAUUUCUUUGAAAGAACUGCUUUUAGGAGGUGUGCACUGCCUGCUUGGCACUGUGACACGGAAGUGUGAGACCAAAACCCCUGCUGUAAUCUCAGCAUGUUCCAAGGCUCCAGACAACGAGAGGAGAUAAGGGUCCAGGAAGUAUGGAGUCAGAAGGUGGACUGUGGGACACUGUUCUAGGUUGCCAGCCGUGCAAGACGACAAGCUGAGCAUCCCUUGUCACUACCCUAUCCAGAUGGAUGCGCUCUCCCGUCCGGAGAACGCAAUGGGAAAUGCACUGCUUUCUUCCUCUUUUGGAUGAGAAUUGUGCUAAAUAUAAGUGGUCUAAUCCCCGUGUUUAUGCAUCACACACGUGAGGACUGUCCCUGAACAGGGGUGUGGACCUGGCAUACUUAGGCUUUCAAAGUAAACUCGAUUCAACUGGAACAGUAUUCAGAGUUGGACAUCGUGGUGAAUAUCUGGAAUCUCAGCCGCUGAGGAAGCAGAGGCAGGGGGAUUGCUUGAGCUCAGGAAUUUGGAUCAACCUAGGAAAUAUACCGAGAGCAUGUCUUAACAAAAAGAAGAGGAGCGAACAAACGGGGAUGGCAAAGCUUCAAUCAAUCAAUGGCCGUGCGCUCAUAUAGCAUCUCCAGAGCCUGGACUCCCUUCCCCGACCCCCUGCGUGCUGAAAGAAGGUGGAAACAGCGCUAGAGGAUUGGCAAGGUGGCUCUGCAGGUGAAGCUGCUUUUUCAGCGAGUUCAAUUCCCAGAACCCCUGUAGAGGAGGAAGGGGAGACUUGACUGCCAUAGCAUGUGUGGUCCCCCCAAAUCAGGUGUCCUUGCACAAAAAACAAAACACAAAUUAAAAACGUAGCAGUAUAGAGAGGAAAGAGCACCCAUGACAAAAUUCCCACAGCGCUUUCUGUACUGUAUGCACUGUGAUUUGAUUACACAUUCAUACAUCUCAGUGCAGUGGGACAAAGAAUUAAGACAAUAAUUGAAUUCUUAAUUUUGUGUUUUUUCUUUGAGUAUAAAGAAAAAAAAGGAAAUUUAUUAGAGGGGGAUUUAAAACCAUUGCUGGAGCAUCAUACAAUUUUCUGUAUUAUGCGAUGUUUAAUAUGCUUAUUGGAUUCUUUCUUUUGUUUUUUUGUUUUUGUUUUUGUUUUUUAAGACAGGUUCUCACUUUGUAGCCCUGACUGGUGGUCUGGAACUCACAGAAAUGUGUUUGUCUGUGCUGGGAUUAAAGGUCACCAGCCCUGGCGGUUUUGCGAUUCUUAGAUUGUAUUUUAUUGUAAUUUGUUUUUUCCAAACACAUAAUGCUCUUUGAUCCUGAUUUUGUAUUUGUGACUUUGCAUUCUUUUUUUUUAAACAGUGGU
ensembl:lncRNA